ensembl:lncRNA
CAACACAAUGUUAUGGGUGAGCGAGCUGACCGUACCAAGAUGGCUACUGUGUGCGGACGUCUAGUCUUUAUGUAUAUAUCUAUGUCUGGAGCUACCUCCGCCAUUCUUUCAAAUCGACACUCGCCAAGAGACCCACCCUCCUCUGACUCUGAUAGGCUUGUUUCCGGUUCACGGACAAUCAAACCAACGAUGGCAGCGAGUAUUACCCAAUCAGGAGCAGAAUAAAACGAGACUUCACAGAAUUCAGGUGGGAUUAUUUGCAUAGGAUGCUGCAUUGACUACAUCUCGGAAAUACGGUAAAAUACGUAUUGGUUCAAAACGGGACGCGCUAUUUUCUCAAAUACCGGACGAUUCCGUAUUUUAAGGGACGGGUGGCAACCCUUUUAGUUUAGACUUGAUCUACUUCGUGAAAGUGUUGUGACGUAGCUCCAAUAGUAUGUGAAUCUGUUAUGAACUGCUCAAGAUCAGAGUAUUUGUUAUCGUAUUUACUGAGUUGAGGAGGUCAGUGAAGCACUCACGGUUCAUCCUGUCAAUCAUCCUGGCUCCCGCUGUGGUUGGCAGAGAGCGGGAGGUGGGACGGUACGAUGUGAUCGUGAUAGAUGUGUGCGUCACACUUUGUGAGACAUGCGAGUGAUCGUUUAGCAGCAUUAUUGUCAGCAGACUGUCAGCAAAUAAAAGUGUAAAAGCAAGUUGGCGUCUCGUCGCUUUCCGCAUUGAGAGUCGUUACAGUAGAUUGAAAGUAUAUUUUCAUUGCGCAGUUUGUUGAAGCAGUGGAGAAAUCCCUCUUUUCUGCUCCUCUCCAGCUCCUCUCCAGCGCGAUACUUUUUCAGCUAAGUUAAAGCUAUAUUUACAUUUUUAUAUAUAUAUAUAUAUAUAUUUUUUUUUUUUGCUGAUUGCCAAUUUGUCGCUCUGAAGGAUACAGAGGAAUGCAAAUCAUAGUCCGCCACCUGCUGGGAAGGUAAAUGGUGCUCGGGGCGAGAGAUCUGGAACAGCAGGGACGACGGCUCUGCACCCUUCACCCUUAAGAAGAGCUGUGCUCCAGUGAAGGAUGAAGAUGAGGAGCUGUGGAGGCCCAUGUCGACCAUCUUUCCUUCAAAGUAUCAAGUGCAGAGCUAAACCACGUUGUCCGUCUCCACCCCUGCUGUCCUCACCAACUGGACCUUUGUAGACAAGAAGGAGACGGUUCGUCUUGGACCGCAGCUUUCCACUUCCUGCUCUAUAAACGCCGUGAGCAGAAGGACACGCUAAAGCUUGUGAACAGGAACUACGCUACUCUGUAUUCAACAUUUGAUGUCCCUGUUGUAAUAAAUACAUCUAAUUCACUAAUGUCUACAUGUCAUGAAUGAGUUAUGAAGCCAUUACACUGAUUUCAACUUUAGCUUCAUCACAUCCUAUCCCAGUGAGUACAUGAUAAUGAUUGCACCGUCUAUGUAUCAAAUGCUGAUUAUAAUGAAACACUGUCUUCAUGUUGAUAAAUAGUUAAAAUGAUUUGUCAUGAUUAUGAUGCAACAAUAACUAUAUUUAGAAGUUUCCUGAUUACAACCAGGUGUGUGUUUUGACUAGAGAGGGCAACCUAUUUUUCACCUUCAACAAUGAAGGAAUUGUCGUAGUGAUCAGUUAAACAAAAAAUAGUAUUUCAUCUUUUGUCUCACUAAAAUAGUGAUAACCAGUAGACAGCAAAGUGGGGUACACAUUUUACUUUUAAACAAUUUAUUUGUAAAUAGCUCUUUAUCAUGCAUGUGUUUCUUUGCCCCAGGGCCCAGGAGAACAAUUCAGUGCAAGGGGCUGAAUAAAGCACAAUGACAUUAGCUUUUCAGCGUCUUGGAUAAGGUGUUUCAGCAUUUUGGACAGUGGCAACCUUGUGGUUCCCGGCGCACCCUCUGUACUCAAUGCGCUACCGUCGCCCCAUAAGUUCGAGAAGGUCAUACUUCAGAUUUGUUGAAUCAUUGUGCCGGCUAUAUUUCCGUUGUUGAGUUGUAGGAAUAUCGUCUUUAGUUUGAUUUAUGAAAACCUUAAACUUAAACAUUAUGUAACAGUAGUCUAUUGAGAUUUUUGUUGUGGUAUGGAAGUCAUGGAAAAAGAAGAAACUAAUGCGUCAUUUAUCAACAAAACAAAUCAAAGGAAUGUUGAUCACCGGGAAGUACAACGCAAAAAGAACCACAGGGAUAGUCUUUGUUACAAAAGACAUCAUUAAGUAGGCAUCCCUGCAUCAUAGAAUACAGGGACAGAAGAUCACUGCGUAUUCAUUAUUUGCGCCGUAGCUUAAGCUGACGUUGAAAGAAACAAGUAAAACUGAAAAGAAACAUAUUUAAAUGAGUUAAAACACAUAAACCAGAGAAACCUUUAGUUUCAGUUAACAUGUGCUGUUGUUACCUCCACUAACAGUGUAGAAAGGAUAUAGAAUAUUUCUUUUUACAAAUCCAUACAAAUCCAUGGCUGUGUCAAAGUGCUGAGGUACAAAUGCAUUUGUAUGUUUUACAACAACGCAGUUUUAACACGAAACAUUUCUCUUGUGCGUGUUUAAUAGUGUCACGGUGUGGUUCUCUUCCUGUCUUAUUUUGUAGUUUUCUGCCACUCGUGUCCCCGGGUAACUUCACUUCCUGCCUUGUCCCGUCAUCCCCUGUGAUCGUCUAAUAGCUUCCACCUGUGUCCAAUCACCUGCACCUCCCUUGUGUAUUUAAGCCGUGUGUCUCUUGUGUCACUUGUCGCGUCAUUGUCGUAGAUGUUGGUAGUUUCCUGCCUGCUGUUUCCCCCC